UUCUAGGGCCACACCACCCUGAACAUGCUCCAACGCGCCAGAUUGUGUCUGAUCCCUGAAGCUAAGCAGAGUUGAGCCUGGUUAGUACUUAUAUGGGAGAUUGCCUGGGAAUACCAGGUGCUGUAGGCU
rnacentral:rRNA from 1 species